rnacentral:tRNA from 1 species
GGAGAGGUGGCAGAGUGGCCGAUUGCACUGGUCUUGAAAACCAGCGUCUCGCAAGGGACCGGGAGUUCGAAUCUCCCCCUCUCCGC